GCCGAAGUGGCGGAAUUGGCAGACGCGCAGGCUUCAGGAGCCUGUGACCUCUUCGGUCGUGGGGGUUCGAAUCCCCCCUUCGGCACCA
rnacentral:tRNA from 1 species